UACGUAGGCAGCAAGCGUUGUUCGGAGUUACUGGGCGUAAAGAGUGCGUAGGCGGUGUCGAAAGUUUGGCGUGAAAUCUCCCGGCUUAACUGGGAGGGUGCGCCGAAAACUGCGAUGCUGGAGUGUGGGAAAGGCAAGCGGAAUUCCUGGUGUAGCGGUGAAAUGCGUAGAUAUCAGGAGGAACACCGGCGGUGUAGACGGCUUGCUAGACCAUAACUGACGCUGAGGCACGAAAGCGUGGGGAGCGAACAGG
rnacentral:rRNA from 1 species